AAAUAAAUACAUAAUAAUAUUAUUUUUUCGUUUGCCGACGUUUGAAUCACUCGCGAAUCGCAAUUAUUUGAAAUUUGAACAGAAAUACAGACAACAGUCGUGCAAAGUUCUAUUGAUACAUUUUAGUACAAAAUCACCAUGGAUAAGUGUAUUCUUUUUAGUAAAACAUCCAAACUAUCGCCCCGCCACAUUACGUUAAUUUUCAUUUAUUUCCAAAAAAUCAACGAACUAAAUGAUUAUCCCAAUUUCUACCCGACAUAGAAUCUGCGGUGAUCAUUUCACAAUCAGUGAUUGUAAACAAUGCUCAGUAAAUUAGUAAACAUGGUCAGAGGCAGUCACAAAACAGAAUCCAAACCACUUAUCUGGGAUAGAGAAGUAAAAUUAAUUUUAGUCAUUUACGGCAACAUUGGUACUACUCUGAGCACGACUAGGAAAUCGUAUCUAAGAGCUUGACGUUUUCAGAAAACUUUGUUUCUCCAACGAUGAGUGAGCAGAUAAUGCACAGCGAAUAAAGGAUUUGGAGGCCUUACAGUUGAUGAUUUUAAAUUGCCUGGAAAAGUCUUAGAUACCUAAUAAUGUCUAAUUCACACACAUUUAUUUCAUACAAUGGAUUAUACUUAUUAUUGUUUUCAAAACAGAAAUAUAUGAUGUACCACAUACAAGGAACUAAGAAGUGUAGCCAAUGUAUUGACAAUUUUUCAGACGUUGAAACCAAACGUUGAGCUAUGAAACUUAAAGGUGGGAAUAUUGUUGAUAGGUUUUUAUUCCAAAUCUAUUUUACUGUGCUAUUAACUAACAUACCCACCUGUUCAUGGGACACAUUGUAUAAUAUCUAAUUGUGUGCGUGGACAUAUAUUUGUCUAUUGAAAGGAUUCAGCCCCUUGAGUCAAAAUAAAUUAAUAAAUAAAUAAUUAUAUGUUACAUUCUUAAAAUAUCCAAAACUUGUAUGAAAAAUUAAAUACAAAUAUAAUAAGUGCUUCCCCAUAAGGUCCCUUAAAAAAUGUCAUAUAGGCUGUUAAACGAGUUGGGAUGUUGUGCAGUAAGUACAUUUAUUUAUCAUAGUAAUAAUAAUUUUCAAAUUUAAUUAAAUAUGUAAAUUAAAGGUUUACAGAUCCUCAAACCCGUUCCCAUUUAUGGAUCUUAUAUCUCAACAAGGAAAGACAAACUUCUUUGAAAAAAGAGUUGGCGAUUAUCAAAAAGCUUCAGUAGCUGUUAUUGAAACUCCUCAAUUGUCGACAAUGGACAUAACUGAACAAGACUUUUAAAUUAGGUAUAUUCUGAUAGCCGCAGUAUUUCCUUCUAUUUGUGUACUUAUUUAUUCUAUGUUUCCCCAUCCACCACCCAUCAGAGGGUUAUUAGUUACAUUAUUUAACGAAGCCGCACUAUGCACUCUGAAUUAUAUUUGUGAAUAAAAUUAUUUUAUCAAUGACGUAUUUAUAGUUAUAAGAAAACUUUAUUUUUAAAUAUUAUAACAAAAAAGAAAAGUAUUUAAAAUCAUUAUAAAUUAUACUAUCAUACUUUUUAUAUUUGUCGUAUUUAUAGUGUAAUUGUAAUUUAAAAUUUAGAAAUAUAUGACAAAUUUGUUGUAAUUUAUUGUUAUACUUAAUCUUUUUUUUUUAAUUUCCCGUUAGCAGCAGUUAUUUUUACAUACUAGAUAAAUUCUUACUGAAUAAGAGAAAAUAGAUUGUAAUAUAAUGUAAGAUUUGACUGUAGUAAACCUUGUGAUUAAUAUGUUAAUUUCAACUUUAUAAUUUAAGCAUUUCAGUUUUUAUUAAAUUCAUUUCUUUACAUUGUAUUAUGAUUAGAGAGCGGAUUUGUAUGCAUUUGCAUAUUUAUUCUGGUCGAUCUUACACUAUGCUGAGUGACCACAGAAUUUGUUUUUAUGACCAUAACAAUUUAAACUGGAACUGCUGCAUAUUUUGAUAGUUAACUCAUUUUUAUUAAUUUAAGGACGUGUUUUAUGAUUUUCAUUGCAUAUUUCUUUGUUUUUAAUGGAUAUUUUUGAAUUGAUAACUACUGCAAUAUUGACAAAAAAAAAGAUAAAAGUAAAUAAGGAAUUCAAUUUUGUCAUUUAUAGUUAUACACAGUACCCAUAUUGCAUUUAUAUUUUAUUUGCAUAAAAUAUUGUUUGGCGCCCAAAACAGAAUUAAUGCAACUUUUCAUACUACCUUAGGUUGCUGACAUGAAUAAUAUAAUAAAAUGUAAAGGCCAUCUCUAUACUAAGAGAAUAGGUACUGGGAAUUUCGACCUCCCCAAAGCAACAACUGGAUUCACUUUUCCACCGGAAAAGAUGAGAAGCGAAUCAUUAUUUCGACUACUUAUCGUGCACAAAAUAAAAUAAAAAAAAAAAAUUACGCAGAUCGUAAAUUUGCUAAUACUUUCAAUAUAGGUCGAUUCACUCUAAUUUUUAAUAUGACGAUGCUAAAUGUGAUAUGCCGAUCGUAAAUUUACUAUACAAGACGAAGACAGUAAAAUGCCCGUGUUACGUCUUAAAUCGUGGGUCAUGGAGUUGCAUCGUUCUCGAAAUUUCGGACUUCGGUAAAAUUUAAAGCCCGCGAUUCUGUCUUAUCACUAUGAUAGUAAUAAUUGUUAUCAAAUAAAUAACAACAUAAUAUUAUUAUUUUUUCGUUUGCCGGACUUUAAAUUCGGAUCACUCGCGAAUCGCGAUUAUUUGAAAAUUUGAACGAAGAAUACAGACUACAGUCGUACAGAGUUCUAUUGAUACAUUUUAGUACAAAAUCACCAUGGAUAAGUGUAUUCUUUUUAGUAAAACAUCCAAAGUAUCGCCUCGCCACAUUACGUUAAUAUUCAUUUAUUUCCAAAAAAUCAACGAAUUAAAUGAUUAUCCCAAUUUCUACCCGACAUAGAAUCUGUGAUUGUAAACAAUGCUCAGUAAAUUAGUAAACAUGGUCAGAGGCUGUCUCAAAACAUAAUCCAAACCACUUGUCUGGGAUGGAGAAGUAAAAUAAAUUUUAGCCAUUUACGGCAACAUUGGUACUACUCUGAGCACGACCAGGAAUUCACAUCUAAGAGAAAACAGUGUUUCUCCAACGAUGAGUUAGCAGAAAAUGAACAGCGAAUAAAGGAUUUGGAGGCCUUACAGUUGAUGAGUUUAAUUCGCCCAGAAAAGUCUUCGAUACUUAAUAAUGUCUAAUCCACACACUUAUUUCAUACAAUGGAUUAUUGUUUUCUAAACAGAAAUAUAUGAUGUACCACAUACAAGGAACUAAGAAGUGGAGCCAAUGUAUUGACAAUUUUUCAGACGUCGAACUAUGAAACUUAAAGGUGGUAAUACUGUUGGUAAUACAAUUUUGCUGAGCAAGAAUCCAAUUUUAAUAACGCCGAGGGCCUCAACACAUUUAAAUUGCAAAAAAAACACGUAACUAGUCUGGACAUUGGUAUCUUUUCUGAAGGGAAAGCACAUCUGGUUGUAUGCUUUGGACAGGUCGUCAAUCCCAUCUACAACGAGGAAAGAUAAAACUUCUUUGCAAAAAACAGUAUGCAAUUACCAAAAAACUUCAGUAGCCGUUCUUAAAAUUCUUCACUAUCAACAAUGGACAUAAUUGAUGAAGACUUUUAAAUUAGGUAUAUUCUUAUAUGUGCCUAUUUCCUUUAAUUUGUAAUUGUUUUUCCUGUGUUUCCCCCCACCACCCAUCAGAAGGAUUAAUUAGUUACUUUAUUUUACCAAAAAUAAACUAUACCUAUGCACUCUGGAGUUAUGUUUGUGAAUAAAAUUAUUUUGUCAAUGACUAAUUUAAGAAAACUUUAUUUUUAAAUUUUAUAAUAAAAAAGAAAAGUAGGCAUUCCAAAUCAUUAUAAUAUCAUAAUUUUCUUUUUUGUUUGUAUUUAUAGUCUAAUUUAUAGUUUUUAUGUAUUUUAAAAUUUAGAAAUACAUGACUUAUGUGGUAAUG